rnacentral:rRNA from 1 species
UACGUAGGGUGCAAGCGUUGUCCGGAAUUAUUGGGCGUAAAGAGCUCGUAGGCGGUCUGUCACGUCGGCUGUGAAAACCCGAGGCUCAACCUCGGGCCUGCAGUCGAUACGGGCAAACUAGAGUACUGCAGGGGAGACUGGAAUUCCUGGUGUAGCGGUGAAAUGCGCAGAUAUCAGGAGGAACACCGGUGGCGAAGGCGACCUUCUGGGCCGCAACUGACGCUGAGGCACGAAAGCCUGGGGAGCGAACGGG